UGAGCAUGCUCUGCAGAGUGGAAGCCUCUAAUGGUUGAGAAGUGUACCAAAAGGGGCUGUUGAGACAAGACAUUGAACAUUAAUACAUGUGACCUUGAGUGACAUGAAAGGAGCCCUGUCCAACACGGAUUUGAACCAGGAACCUCCUCGCUGUGAGGCAACAGCGCUUACCACUGCACCACCAUACAGCCUCCAUUAAACGUAUUGAUAGAAAAGGCUUAAAUUACUAGACGUUACUGAUGAAAAAUGUAUACUACUUCUAUCAAGUAAAAUGAUCAAACCCUAUUUCUACAUACAAAUAUCUUGAAUGUUAACAUGAGGUGUGGUCUAAGGGGAGGUAAUGGACUAGCAAGUACCUCAUGUGCCUGCAGAUGUUAACAAUCCACCAUCCUUACCUUUGUAGCAUUUGAGCUUCAAAUCAGGGGGAAAUGUCUGCUUGUGAAAAGGAUCAUUUAAGUCUGAAAUCCUGUCAGUAAAUUAAUAAGUAAAAAAAUGUGUUCGACUCUGACCUGUUUGUGUGCACAUUCUGUUCAGGCUGGAGGUAAAACACAUCAGUUCUCCUCUUCACAGACUCUGGGCUGUUAAAAAAAGGACAAGGACAAAGCAGAUGAAGCAUUUGUUUCAGUUUUUGAAAAAUAUUGUUCCAUAUAUUGUUCCAUCAACACUGAAGGUGUCUCUCUGUCUCACCAUCUAGAGAGGUAGAACUCGUAGAUCCGGACAGGACAGCGCAGAGGGUUGGGGGCACUUUCAAGCAUCAACAGGUCUCCCUCUUCCUCCCCUUUCCUUUUUCUCAAUCGCUCUAAAUGAAGUAGAGAACCAAAACAACAGCCAGCAUGAUGAUACGCUGGUCAUCUGCCACUACACCACAUAACAAGAAGAGGAAGUAUAAAGUUUGUUUUUUUCUGCUGCCAGUGAGAGUGGCAAUAUGACAAUAUGAAACCAAAAUAAUGUUGUUGUUUUUUUACAUUGAGGACAAAAAAGGAACGACAAAGACCUCAGUGUGAUGUUUGAAGUGCUGGGACAUGAAAGUGUGAGUCAGCAUUAUAAAGGAAACACUGACUCCGCUUCUAAAGACAAACCUGUUGACUUCUUUCAAAGACGACUGGCGUUCUGUCCUGUUUUCUUAUUUUGACAUUCUGUGAUGUUUUUGUUACUUCUCUUCAAACUGCAAACAUUGUUACAGUCUUGUAACAAAGAAAAGCAAAGUAUGUCAUGGUAAUAAAAAGUCAUCAUUUUGUUUACAGAUCUGUUUGAAGAUCAGGGAUAGCAUAAAGCAUUUUUUUCUCAAA